rnacentral:rRNA from 1 species
AACGAACGCUGGCGGCAUGCCUAACACAUGCAAGUCGAACGAAGCCUUCGGGCUUAGUGGCGCACGGGUGCGUAACGCGUGGGAAUCUGCCCUUUGGUUCGGAAUAACAGUUGGAAACGACUGCUAAUACCGGAUGAUGACGAAAGUCCAAGGAUUUAUCGCCAGAGGAUGAGCCCGCGUAGGAUUAGCUAGUUGGUGUGGUAAAGGCGCACCAAGGCGACGAUCCUUAGCUGGUCUGAGAGGAUGAUCAGCAACACGGGGACUGAGACACGGCCCAGACUCCUACGGGAGGCAGCAGUGGGGAAUAUUGGACAAUGGGCGAAAGCCUGAUCCAGCAAUGCCGCGUGAGUGAUGAAGGCCCUAGGGUUGUAAAGCUCUUUUACCCGGGAUGAUAAUGACAGUACCGGGAGAAUAAGCCCCGGCUAACUCCGUGCCAGCCGCCGCCGUAA